ensembl:snRNA U2 U2 spliceosomal RNA
AUCGCUUCUUGGCCUUUUGUCUACGAUCUAGUGUAGUAUCUGUUCUUAUCAGUUUAAUAUCCAAUAAAUCUGCUAUCCGGCCAGGCGUGGUGGCUCACAUCUGUAAUCCCA